CCUACGGGUGGCAGCAGUGGUGAAUAUUGGACAAUGGGGGCAACCCUGAUCCAGCCAUGCCGCGUGUGUGAAGAAGGCCCUCGGGUUGUAAAGCACUUUCAGUGAGGAAGAACGCCUGGUGGUUAAUACCCAUCAGGAAAGACAUCACUCACAGAAGAAGCACCGGCUAACUCCGUGCCAGCAGCCGCGGUAAUACGGAGGGUGCGAGCGUUAAUCGGAAUUACUGGGCGUAAAGCGCGCGUAGGUGGCUUGAUAAGCCGGUUGUGAAAGCCCCGGGCUCAACCUGGGAACGGCAUCCGGAACUGUCAAGCUAGAGUGCAGGAGAGGAAGGUAGAAUUCCCGGUGUAGCGGUGAAAUGCGUAGAGAUCGGGAGGAAUACCAGUGGCGAAGGCGGCCUUCUGGACUGACACUGACACUGAGGUGCGAAAGCGUGGGUAGCAAACAGGAUUAGAUACCCGGGUAGUC
rnacentral:rRNA from 1 species